rnacentral:rRNA from 1 species
CGAAAGGGAUGCUAAUACCGCAUACGUCCUACGGGAGAAAGCAGGGGACCUUCGGGCCUUGCGCUAUCAGAUGAGCCUAGGUCGGAUUAGCUAGUUGGUGGGGUAAUGGCUCACCAAGGCGACGAUCCGUAACUGGUCUGAGAGGAUGAUCAGUCACACUGGAACUGAGACACGGUCCAGACUCCUACGGGAGGCAGCAGUGGGGAAUAUUGGACAAUGGGGGCAACCCUGAUCCAGCCAUGCCGCGUGUGUGAAGAAGGCCUUUUGGUUGUAAAGCACUUUAAGCGAGGAGGAGGCUACCGAGAUUAAUACUCUUGGAUAGUGGACGUUACUCGCAGAAUAAGCACCGGCUAACUCUGUGCCAGCAGCCGC